ACUUUGCAAAGUAAAUAAAUUUAACAAUGUAUGCAUCCUAAGUGUGUGCUCAAUUUAUCCUUCGCUCAUAUAUAAUAAAACAUAUUUAUCAAUUACCCACUUUAAAACUAUUAUACACUAAAACUAAUUGACCCCAUAAAAUAAUAUAAGUAAUAGUGCUCAAACAAUUAAAAUUAGAGAAAGAAAAAGGGUCAGCAGCAACGUAUACACUCCGUACCCAAACUAAUUUCUCUUCCUCUAUCACAACAAACAAGAAUGGCCCACUAAAUUAAAAGAAGACAAGUAAAGUAUACUCCUUCUCACCACCAUCGUUUAUCUCUCAUAAAUCUCAAAAAAAAAUUUAAAGCAGCUCCAACAUCACAAUUCGUCUAUCCCUCAUCUCUAACGCCCUUGUCUCAAUUUUCAUCUCAUAUUCCCGAAUCAGAAGCAACAAGCUCAUCUCCCUUUCUAUCUACUACCUUAAGAAUUAAGGAACACACCCAUUGCUACUGUCACUGCCCCUCCGUCGCCGCUGAGCUCCAACCAGCUCAGCCUCCGUCGCCGGCGACGCUACUUCUCACAACCGGCAGUCCCGGAAUAUUUAAUAUUGGAAUUGGAAAGAAAUCAAAAGGGAAACUUCUAUCGGUAUUAAAGAUUGAAGUUUUAGGAGGAGGGUAUUAUUCAACAAAUUGCAGAAAUUCAAUUGGUGGACUACCGUAAAUGUAUAUGCCAUGGAAGAUUUCAUAAAAUAAAAGAGGAUAUACCUUCAAUUGGAUA